GACGAACGCUGGCGGCAUGCCUAACACAUGCAAGUCGAACGAGACCUUCGGGUCUAGUGGCGGACGGGUGAGUAACACGUGAGCAACCUGCCCCUCAGAGAGGAAUAACGUUUGGAAACGAACGCUAAUACCUCAUAACAUUACUGGAAGGCAUCUUCCGGUAAUUAAAGAUUUUAUCGCUGAGGGAUGGGCUCGCGUCCGAUUAGGUAGUUGGUGAGAUAACAGCCCACCAAGCCGACGAUCGGUAGCCGGACUGAGAGGUUGAACGGCCACAUUGGGACUGAGACACGGCCCAG
rnacentral:rRNA from 1 species